GACGAACGCUGGCGGCGUGCUUAACACAUGCAAGUCGAACGGAAAGGCCCUGCUUUUGUGGGGUGCUCGAGUGGCGAACGGGUGAGUAACACGUGAGUAACCUGCCCUUGACUUUGGGAUAACUUCAGGAAACUGGGGCUAAUACCGGAUAGGAGCUCCUGCUGCAUGGUGGGGGUUGGAAAGUUUCGGCGGUUGGGGAUGGACUCGCGGCUUAUCAGCUUGUUGGUGGGGUAGUGGCUUACCAAGGCUUUGACGGGUAGCCGGCCUGAGAGGGUGACCGGCCACAUUGGGACUGAGGUACGGGCCAGACUCCUACGGGAGGCAGCAGUGGGAAAUAGUGCACGAUGGGCGGAAGCCUGAUGGAGCAACGCCGCGUGCGAGAUGACGGCCUUCGGGUUGUAAACCGCUUUCGCCUGUGACGAAGCGUGAGUGACGGUAAUGGGUAAAGAAGCACCGGCUAACUACGUG
rnacentral:rRNA from 1 species